rnacentral:rRNA from 1 species
UACGUAGGGUGCAAGCGUUAAUCGGAAUUACUGGGCGUAAAGCGUGCGCAGGCGGUUCUAUAAGUCGGAUGUGAAAUCCCCAGGCUUAACCUGGGAACUGCAUCCGAUACUGGAUGGCUUGAAUCCGGGAGAGGGAUGCAGAAUUCCAGGUGUAGCGGUGAAAUGCGUAGAUAUCUGGAGGAAUACCGGUGGCGAAGGCGGCAUCCUGGACCGGCAUUGACGCUGAUGAGCGAAAGCUAGGGGAGCAAACGGG